AACAACUCUCAGCAAUGGAUAUCUCAGCUCUCGUAUCAAUGAAGAACAUAGCGAAAUGAGAUGCUUGGUGUGAAUUGCAGAAUCCCGUGAACCAUCGAGUCUUUGAACGCAAGUUGCGCCCCAGGCCACACGGUCGAGAGCACGUCUGCUUGGGCAUCACGC
rnacentral:rRNA from 1 species